UAUCUCUGUAGAGUCUGCAUAUCAAUAAGCGGAGGAAAAGAAACUAACAAGGAUUCCCUUAGUAACGGCGAGUGAAGCGGGAAGAGCUCAAAUUUGAAUCUUCAAGGUUCUACCUUGACGAAUUGUAGUUUAAAGAAGUGUUUUCUGUUAGAUGAGUAGCAAAAGUUCCUUGGAAUGGGACAUCAUAGAGGGUGAGAAUCCCGUAUUUGGUUAUUCAUUCUAGCUUUGUGAUACACUUUCAAAGAGUCGGAUUGUUUGGGAAUGCAGUCCAAAAUGGGUGGUAAAUUUCAUCUAAAGCUAAAUAUUGGCGAGAGACCGAUAGCGAACAAGUACCGUGAGGGAAAGAUGAAAAGAACUUUGAAAAGAGAGUUAAACAGUACGUGAAAUUGUCAAAAGGGAAGCGUUUGACACCAGUGUUGUUUUUCCGAAAAUCAAUUACGAAUGGCUUGAUUUUGUGUUGUAUUGACCUUAUCAGCUUUCUUCACUUUUUUCGAGUCUUUCUUAAUGCACUUUUCGGUUAACAAGUCAACAUCAAUUUCUUUUGUUGUAAAAGAGUAUUCGGAAGGUGGCUUUCUUUUCGGAGAAAGUGUUUAUAGCCCUAUACUUCUACAAUCGGAGAGAUUGAGGUCUGCAGCGUAGAUCCUUCGGGGUUAGAUACACUUGUGCUAAGUUGUAGCUUUUCAUAGACAACUUGUUGACUAUGUUUAGUCAUGCGGCUUACUCGCUUGUGCUAUUUUACCUACGCUUAGGAUGUUGAACUACUGAGACAUAGA
rnacentral:rRNA from 1 species